rnacentral:lncRNA from 1 species
AUUUUAUUCGUUCUUUACCCAAUUAAACGCAUUAAUUACAUAACAAAGCUUUAUAUUGUAUGAUCUAAAACAAUAAAAACAACAAUAAUAAAAACAGUAAAAAUCAAUCACAAAAUUGUAAACUGGACGAAAGUCAAUGAAUUAAGAUAUUACAUGUAUGUACCUUCUUUGGAAGAAAAGGCAUGUAGCAUACAUAAUUAUGCUCACUCCGAUUAAAAUUUAGUAUACUUCACGUUUUCUACAAAACAUAAAAGUAAUACAAACAAUUGACAUUACGAUAACUAAAGAUUAAAUUAAAUAUAAUAUGAUCAUGCAAGGAUUGUAAUAAUACGGAUAAAAGUUUGCAUUAACAGACAACUUUCGAGUUCGAUGCAUCUGGACCGUCAAAAACUCUGGUUUUAGUGAACAUCAUUCGUGCGUUUAGGGGCAUCGUCACUUCCAUCCAAAUGUUGAGCGAGUGGUUGGAAAACUAUAACACUAUUUUGCAAGAAUCAUUCGGCAAAUUAAAAUCUCGUAAUUGACAAUCAGCACUGCUGUCAUUAGGGAAUUGUGUGGUUAAGUACUUACAAAACAAACAUUAUUUCUAGGUUAUUCUUCACAAAGACGAUCAAUAAGACGCUUGAUGAACGUUAAUAAUGCAGGGAUACAGGCGAUCCCCUCUAUCUGGUAAAUGACGUCAUAAAGGCGCAUAAUUGACGAGAUUUUUCCGGUGACGGAUGAACUUGAAAGUGGUCUAUUGCAUAAUACACCUUAUUACUAAUCACGGCUGACCCGGCCGCUUGAGCUUUUUACGCAAACAACAAUCACUUUUCCAUUGUGGCGUCAGAUAUUUUGUUUUAUGACAUCAAAAUUUUACGGGAACCUAUGUGAUAUCCAGAAAUGGCGGAAAAAUAGCGAUAAGGUGUAUAGAAAAAAAAAACCAGCAACAUGAAAGAAUACUUAGAAGAACACAUUAAAAGAAUGUACAUUCAGGUCUAUUAAUGUUUUUAAAUGUAAAAAGUAAAAUCACAAAAAUACUGAACUUAAAGAAAUGAAUUCGGAAAGUCCAUAAUCACAUGGCAAAAUCAUAUAACAAUACGCAUCAAAAACGAAUGGACAAGAACUGUCAUAUUCCUGAUUUGGUACAGGCAUUUUCAAAUGUAAAAAAUGGUGGAUUAAACCUGGUUUUAUAGCGCUAACCCUCUCACUUUGAUGACAGUCUCAUCAAAUUCCGUUAUAUUUACAUUGAUGCGUUAACUAAACAGACACCGGGCUUUAUGAUGUUGAUAUUUAAAAAAAAUGCAUUUCUGGUUUGACGAAUAAUACAAUGACCCUAUAAAAUGACUGCAUGUUGGAUUUGAUUUCAAAGGAAUUACUGAAAUUUAUUUGUAGCACCAAUUGUACCUUUGAAGAAAAGUUUACAUAAAAACUAUGUACAAAAUAAUACUUACGGUAAACAAAUGAAUUUUAAAGGUAUACAUUUAAAAAAAAAAACCAACAUAGAUAUACAUGAAUAAUCAUACUGUUCAUACAUAAAACAAAAACGAAACAUGAAUAAGAUUUUUGUUGAUAGAUCAAAUGACAUUUAUAAUUAUCAAAUAAAAAAUAUCUUAUACACAACCGAUUGUUAAAUCAUUUCUCCUCAUUUUAACAUCACCAAACGCUCAAUAUCUACAUUGUCAUAUGUAGUGAGCUUAACAACAUGUAUGCAUCAUUUACGUUGCAAUAUUUUCAUUGUAUAUAAUAAAUGGCCAAAAGGAGAUCACAUGAAAACUAUACUGGCCGGAAUUAUCUAAGGCACUGGAUAUGUUAUAAAACUUGUAUCCCUUUUUUUUUUUUUUUAUAGAAAUCAUUGAUAACCUGUAUACCUAGAUGGCUAGCAACAGUUUCUACAGAAUUUUUUUACAAGAAAACGAAAAAUGUGAAAAUAGAGAUACAGAAUAAAUUUUGAAAUAUAAAUAUGCAGAAAACAAAAACAGGAAAAAUGAAAAAAAAAACAUUCAGAUAAAAACAUUUAUGCGACAGUCAUAUAAUUAAUGAUAUUAGAUGGUUAAUUGGUAUAGAUUACAAUUGCACAUGUAUUACAUUUUUUUUAAAACAUAUUUAUAAAUAUUGAAAAACUGAAAAUGGGAAAUAAACUUUUUUAUCGAAUUUAUUUGACAUCUAGUUUUCCUUUGACAAACUUAUGAUUUUGAUGCCCUUACUUAACGAUACAAAUUUUGGUGUAUUUCAACUUAGAAAACCUUUAGAACUUUCUCAAUCUCAGAACAUGUGUUUUUCCUAAGAUAUUGUCCGAAGCUAAAACACUGAAGAAUACUACUUGUUAGAUGCGAGCUUUUGUGACGUAUCAGCUAUCCGAUAGAAUAAUAAGACAUAAGUUUGAUUUUUUGUUUAUAAAAUAUCUUAUUCAUUAUAUGAGGUAUUUAUCUGUUUACCUCUUAUGAAUUACAUGAGAUAUUUUAUAAACUCGAUAAAGAUAUAUCAAUAUCUAAAGAAUAUCCUUACAUUUUAAAAUAUGUUUGGGUAUUCUUUGAAUCACACGUUGGACAUUUUGUUUAAACAAUUAUGACUUCUUACAAACAUGCAUACUAUGUUUGCAAUGGGCAUAUGAUAACAUUAUUGCAUGUAAGUAUCGUGUAAUAUAAUAUCCUAGGAAUCAGACAUUUGCUGUCAACAUUCGGUGUCAGAAUCUUUAUCAUUUUCUGUAUUGUCUUCAUUUUCUCCUUCCGUCUGUAAAUGAGUAUAAGUAAUACGUAAACAAUAAUUAUG